CCUACGGGUGGCAGCAGUGGGGAAUAUUGGACAAUGGGCGAAAGCCUGAUCCAGCCAUGCCGCGUGUGUGAAGAAGGCCUUCGGGUUGUAAAGCACUUUCAGUGGGGAAGAAAGCCUUGGGGCUAAUACCCUCGAGGAAGGACAUCACCCACAGAAGAAUCACCGGCUAACUCCGCGCCAGCAGCCGCGGUAAUACGGAGGGUGCGAGCGUUAAUCGGAAUUACUGGGCGUAAAGCGCGCGUAGGCGGUCUGAUAAGCCGGUUGUGAAAGCCCCGGGCUCAACCUGGGAACGGCAUCCGGAACUGUCAGGCUAGAGUGCAGGAGAGGAAGGUAGAAUUCCCGGUGUAGCGGUGAAAUGCGUAGAGAUCGGGAGGAAUACCAGUGGCGAAGGCGGCCUUCUGGACUGACACUGACGCUGAGGUGCGAAAGCGUGGGUAGCAAACAGGAUUAGAUACCCUAGUAGUC
rnacentral:rRNA from 1 species